rnacentral:rRNA from 1 species
ACACUCCUACGGGAGGCAGCAGUGGGGAAUAUUGGACAAUGGGCGCAAGCCUGAUCCAGCCAUGCCGCGUGAGUGAUGAAGGCCCUAGGGUUGUAAAGCUCUUUCACCGGUGAAGAUAAUGACGGUAACCGGAGAAGAAGCCCCGGCUAACUUCGUGCCAGCAGCCGCGGUAAUACGAAGGGGGCUAGCGUUGUUCGGAUUUACUGGGCGUAAAGCGCACGUAGGCGGACUAUUAAGUCAGGGGUGAAAUCCCGGGGCUCAACCCCGGAACUGCCUUUGAUACUGGUAGUCUUGAGUCCGAGAGAGGUGAGUGGAAUUCCGAGUGUAGAGGUGAAAGUCGUAGAUAUUCGGAGGAACACCAGUGGCGAAGGCGGCUCACUGGCUCGAUACUGACGCUGAGGUGCGAAAGCGUGGGGAGCAAACAGGAUUAGAAACCCCAGUAGUCCCAUGA